UACAGAGGUCCCGAGCGUUGUUCGGAUUCAUUGGGCGUAAAGGGUGCGUAGGCGGCGAGGUAAGUCUGAUGUGAAAUCCCGGGGCUCAACCCUGGAACUGCAUUGGAUACUGCCUUGCUUGAGUACUGGAGAGGAGACUGGAAUUUACGGUGUAGCAGUGAAAUGCGUAGAGAUCGUAAGGAAGGCCAGUGGCGAAGGCGAGUCUCUGGACAGUUACUGACGCUGAGGCACGAAGGCCAGGGGAG
rnacentral:rRNA from 1 species